AAUGAACGCUGGCGGCAGGCUUAACACAUGCAAGUCGAGCGCCCCGCAAGGGGAGCGGCAGACGGGUGAGUAACGCGUGGGAAUCUACCCAUCCCUACGGAACAACUCCGGGAAACUGGAGCUAAUACCGUAUACGCCCUUUGGGGGAAAGAUUUAUCGGGGAUGGAUGAGCCCGCGUUGGAUUAGCUAGUUGGUGGGGUAAUGGCCUACCAAGGCAACGAUCCAUAGCUGGUCUGAGAGGAUGAUCAGCCACACUGGGACUGAGACACGGCCCAGACUCCUACGGGAGGCAGCAGUGGGGAAUAUUGGACAAUGGGCGCAAGCCUGAUCCAGCCAUGCCGCGUGAGUGAUGACGGCCCUAGGGUUGUAAAGCUCUUUCACCGGUGAAGAUAAUGACGGUAACCGGAGAAGAAGCCCCGGCUAACUUCGUG
rnacentral:rRNA from 1 species